UACGAAGGGGGCGAGCGUUGUUCGGAUUUACUGGGCGUAAAGGGUGCGUAGGUGGCGCUGUAAGUCGGGUGUGAAAUUUCGGAGCUUAACUCCGAAACUGCAUUCGAUACUGCGGUGCUUGAGGACUGGAGAGGAGACUGGAAUUCAUGGUGUAGCAGUGAAAUGCGUAGAGAUCAUGAGGAAGACCAGUGGCGAAGGCGGGUCUCUGGACAGUUCCUGACGCUGAGGCACGAAGGUCAGGGGAGCAAACGGG
rnacentral:rRNA from 1 species